rnacentral:rRNA from 1 species
AGCAGUCGCCACGGUAAGACAGAGGAUGCAAGCGUUAUCCGGAAUGAUUGGGCGUAAAGCGUCUGUAGGUGGCUUGUUAAGACAGAUGUGAAAUCCCCGGGCUUAACCUGGGAACUGCAUUUGUGACUGGCGAGCUAGAGUAUGGCAAAGGGGGGUAGAAUUCCACGUGUAGCAGUGAAAUGCGUAGAGAUGUGGAGGAAUACCGAUGGCGAAGGCAGCCCCCUGGGCCAAUACUGACGCUCAUGCACGAAAGCGUGGGGAGCAAACAGGAUUAGAUACCCCUGUAGUCCCUGUCUCUUAUAC